rnacentral:rRNA from 1 species
UACGUAGGGUGCGAGCGUUGUCCGGAAUUAUUGGGCGUAAAGAGCUCGUAGGCGGUCUGUCGCGUCUGCUGUGAAAAUCCAGGGCUCAACCCUGGACCUGCAGUGGGUACGGGCAGGCUAGAAUUCGGUAGGGGAGACUGGAAUUCCUGGUGUAGCGGUGAAAUGCGCAGAUAUCAGGAGGAACACCGGUGGCGAAGGCGGGUCUCUGGGCCGAUAUUGACGCUGAGGAGCGAAAGCGUGGGGAGCAAACAGG